CUAUGCAGCCUAAGAAGAAGCCUUGAUCAAAGCUGCCACGUCAGCCUCCGAUGGAAGUGCUGGAAUGGCUCCUUUCUUGGUUGUUGUAAUGGCUCCACAAGCGUUAGCAAACUUCAGGAUCUCCCUCAACUUCUUCUCAUCCUGAAGCACGGAUUGGUCGUCAACAAUCUUGCAAAGAAGAGCACCAACGAAUGAGUCACCAGCUCCAGUUGUGUCAACAGCCUUAACCUUCCGCGGCUCCGUGGAUCCUUUCAAGGUUAAGGCUGUUGACACAA
rnacentral:misc_RNA from 1 species